rnacentral:tRNA from 2 species
GCAGAUGUAGUUCAGUGGUAGAACUUCAGCCUUCCAAGCUGACUAUACGGGUUCGAUUCCCGCCAUCUGCUCCA